GACGAACGCUGGCGGCGUGCUUAACACAUGCGAGUCGAACGGAAAGGCCCCUUCGGGGGUACUCGAGUGGCGAACGGGUGAGUAACACGUGAGUAACCUGCCCUUGACUUCGGGAUAACUUCAGGAAACUGGGGCUAAUACCGGAUAGGAAUCCUUGCUGCAUGGUGGGGGUUGGAAAGCUUCGGCGGUUUUGGAUGGACUCGCGGCUUAUCAGCUUGUUGGUGGGGUAGUGGCUUACCAAGGCUUUGACGGGUAGCCGGCCUGAGAGGGCGACCGGCCACAUUGGGACUGAGAUACGGCCCAGACUCCUACGGGAGGCAGCAGUGGGGAAUAUUGCACAAUGGGCGGAAGCCUGAUGCAGCAACGCCGCGUGCGGGAUGACGGCCUUCGGGUUGUAAACCGCUUUCAGCAGGGGCGAAGCUUGUGGUGACGGUACCUGCAGAAGAAGCACCGGCUAACUACGU
rnacentral:rRNA from 1 species